CAAAGGCCUAGAAAAACAAUUUAGCCUCUGGUAACACAGAUGUAUUCUGAUUUUUGCAAAGUCCAGUUAGAUGGCAGUAUUAUUCCUUCAUGCACAUACACAAAACAAGAAUAUUACAGAAAGAGCCAAUCCCAGAGAAGCACAUGCUCCACUCUCUUGUUUCUGGAUGUAUCCACCAUUUUAAAUUUAAGCAAUAGAGAAAAACAUUCUUUUUGCCUUGGCCUUGGUUUUUUUUAAUGUGAAGAUAUAUCCUUUAAAAGUUUAUGAUAUAAAUAUGUUUUAACAUAGACAGACUGCUUCAUCACUACAGUCACUCCUGUGCCAUUUCAAAUGGAUCUGUUCCCAUCAAAGAGUUUACCUGACAUUUUAGUCUUUAGACUGUAUCAUGAAGGAUCUUCUGGGAUUUAGCUUGUCCUUCCUUAUGUGCACUAUGAGUGCUGGUUGCUUAGAGGCAGAAUAAGAAGUUUUGAUCUGCACUGUCUCUAUUUAUGAUUGACUAGCAGAGAUUGCAUGACCCCUCCCCUUCAGUAAUCUCCUUUUUUGAAUUAGACAAAUAUGUAUUUAGUCUAGGUUGAGUUAAUUUCACCCUAGGGCAGAGAGAUGUGGUGCCUGACCAUCUGACAUCCUUUUUAGUCUUAUUUUUUUUCCUAGUUUUGUGAUUAUUCCCAAUAAGAAGGCUGGAGGGCUCUUCAAAAGGUUAAGCACUGGAAAAAGAUAAGAAUGAAAGUCCGAACCUAACUGCAGAAUAGUUGAGGCUGGAAGAAACCUCUGGAAGCCAUUUGGUCCAACACCCUUUUCAAGCAGACAAGGGGUCAAGGUACAACCAGAGCAGGUUUCUCCGGACCAUGUUCAGAGAAUGUGGUAUCAGGAAUAUUUCCCGAUCUGUUUCAUUAAGAAAAUCUGUGAGCACUUGAGGGUAUUGCAAUUUCAGUGACCUAUAAUUUAAAUAUGACAAUCUAAAUUCAGCCAGAUAAACUGUAGAGACACAGUAUCUGUUUGGAAGAAAAUAUGAAGUUCGGAAGGAAAGAAAAAAGAAAAAAAAAAAAAAGGCACUUCAGAUAUAUGUAUGAACAUAGAAGAUUAGAUUGUGUUGACCUUCACCAGGUAUUAGGUAUUUACCUGAGAGCAAAAUAUGCCUUACAGGUAAUGUCUUGUUGACAAACUGAUCUCAGUCAUAAUUAUUAGUGGCAUAUAUAUAGCAUAAUGCAUACCCAGGCCAACAUGAACCUAUUCCAGAGUAUGCACUGAAAUGAACUUGCAUUGGUCAAUUCCUGCCAAGAACAUUUCCAACUUUUCACUGAUUUCAUCCACUGGAAAUCUGAGAAAGGACUCAAAAAGUCUAGGUCUCUAAAUAUUUUUUUUUUCAAAACAGCAACGUUGCUUAUCGUAUCUUUGCUGUUGCCUUCAUUACACAUCAAAGGUAUGCAUAUGGAUGCACAUUUAAAAGUAACAUAGUAAAAAACGACUUGAAAGAGUCCAAACAUAAGACAUAAACUAUAAGUAGUGAGCUCCAUGGAACUACUUACUUACUCUAGCAAAUUACAAGUCUUUUAGCAUUUUUAACAGGAGAUCAAGAAGUUGUAUUUUGGCUUUGAAACAAAAAGAGUAAGAGUGAUCAAAAGGCAGAGAGGAAAGAAUUUAAAGGAAAACAUGAUACUUCUGAGAUGUAUCAUGGGAAAGAGACUGAAGAAGGUUGGCUUGAAAAGUAGAUUUCCAAAGAGUCAAGGCUAAAGAAAAAUACUGUGCAAGACAUAGAAGGUGUGCAGAAUGCCAGUGCUAGGCAGGUGAAAACAAUUACUGAGGCAGUGAAGAAAUAUCAUCAGGUACCAAGUCAAAUGUCCACAAAGAGUGUCAAAAACACUGAAGGUGAUUUUUGAGGGGGUUUUGAAGUGUUAAUAGGCUGGUACAUACCUGAAGAUGUAAUGACCAGCAGUGCCAUGUUUACAAAGAGUGAUGGCAAGGAAGAAAUGUCAGGAAGAAGAGAGAAGAAUCUGAAGACAACAAUCUGCCCCUUGAAAUAUUUUGCAGAAAAAAAACAAAACUGAAUGUUAUGGCUGCAUACCCAGGAAGAAGACUAGAUCCAAAAAGAGUAGCCAUUUGCAUCAUGACUUAUUAUCGAAAUAAGAGAAGAAAAGUGAGCAUGGAAGCAACUGAAAUGUGGGUGGUUAAGUAUAGCUAUAACAGGACACUGAGAUAUUUCCUCAUCUGGCUGAUGUAAUAUUUUCAAAUUUUUGCUUUGCUAUAAAAAAAUAAAACAAAACAAAACAACCAA